rnacentral:rRNA from 1 species
UACGUAGGGUGCGAGCGUUAAUCGGAAUUACUGGGCGUAAAGCGUGCGCAGGCGGUUUUGUAAGCCAGGUGUGAAAUCCCCGGGCUCAACCUGGGAAUGGCAUUUGGGACUGCAAGGCUGGAGUGCGGCAGAGGAGACUGGAAUUCCUGGUGUAGCAGUGAAAUGCGUAGAUAUCAGGAGGAACGACCGAUGGCGAAGGCAGGUCUCUGGGCUGACACUGACGCUCAUGCACGAA